CAAAGAUGGCUACCGUGCACGUGCGGCUUUUUUCGACCGGAGCUAGGAAGUCAGUCUGCUCUUACCAAGGAAGCCACCCACUAUCCUCCCAUAUCCAACAAGUCAUUGAGCCAGCAGGCCCUUGGUGUAUGUUUGAUGAGCAUGUACAUAUUUCAAGACCUUGCCAGCGAAGAAAGUUGUAGUCUCAAUUAGCAUCGGCAGCUAGAUUAACAUGCAGCUUUUGAAAAAAAGGAACUACUUUAUUGGACAGUAAUCGACUCGUGACCAAGAUGGCAAAGGAUUCCGAAAGAACAACAGCAUAACAAUGUCUCCAUUUGAUCUUUGAUGCUGCGUUGAAACAACAUGUGUACAUAGUCUACAGACCAAAAAAUAGCACCACGAGACUACUGAACAUUUACAACCACUUACAACCAAGCACAUUCCAUUGAGGGGGAGUUCAUGUUUACCAACAAGUACCAUGGAACCUACAAAGUUAUUGUACGUUUGUCACGUUUACCAGUGUGGUGGAUGUAGCAACCAGCCGUUCCUGAGACUGAUGACAGUAGACAAGCCCAGAGGGUAUACUGCGGACUUCCUCCAUUGACAAGACUGCUGGAAACAGGUUACCUUCCAAUCAUCAACCGGGUUCUGUCAUCUCAUCAGGCUCUGCCUGGCAUCAUCAUGUGGAACUUUUGCUGAUGUAUCACUUAGGACAUUGCACAGGACGUGAGAUACUGACUAUAGAAUAAACGCAUUAUUCAUUUCUCUAAUGGGGUCGACCAUGGACUUCCUUUAUUCCGGAGACUGCUAGAAACAGGUUUCACCCCAAUCACGGACUCAUCUCGUCAAGCUCUUAUGGCAUCAUCCUGAGGAACUUUCGCUGGUGCAUCACACAGAGCAUUACACAGGACGUGAGAUACUGACUAUAGAAACAAACUGUUGGUACAGUUGUGGAUGGUGAGCUUGGACCAUAUUCCACAAGGCUACUUACGUCUAGUGAUCAAAAACUCAAAUUAAAAUGCUAUUGUUAGUAGACUGUGUGACUCAUCCUGCCAUGAAUUAUUGAAACCACCCAGCUGCGUUCCUGAUUCGUUUUGAACUCUGUGGAUAUGCAUCCCAUUAGAACAUUUUACGGACUGGACCAUACAUGUACAUGUAUGUGCACACCAAGAAGCUACCAGCUAAUCCUACAAGACUGUACUUCAGCAUCUUCUGCUGUGGAAUUCUUGACAUUGGAUUGUGUACCAGAGUGCUUCAGCAUUGACUGGAAUUUCUACAAACUUGAAUGGCUGAUGCACAAUUUAACUUGAGAGAUGCAGAGAAUCAUCAACAAAGAACUAAGUUUAGAACAUUGGGUUGGGAAAUAAACAGUGGCGUAGCUUAAUUUUUUUUUCCUUCAUGACAGUGAAGAUAUGACCUUUCAAACCUCAAUGUGUCUCAGUUUUGGGAUAUAAAUGUCUUGAACGUUAGCAUCAAAGUCCAUCUUAAAAAAACCUCUAAAAUUCAAGUUGACAAAAAAAUCAUGUUGAACAAAUGUUGAAGAGGAGUCAUUACAAAAAAGAAAGAUAUUAAGUUGCUAGAUUCUCAUUGGAUGUAACUUGCGAUAUGUGGUCAUGCAAUAUCAAUCAUUCUUGGUUCGCAUUAAGUUUCCAACUUUCGUAAUUGGCCAUUUUGCAUUCUCAUCUAUAUCAUCAAAGCUACGCCACUGAAAAAAAGGGUUGAGGGUGGGAAUUGGGUGAGAGUACCAAGUCCAUUUUGACAACGGAGCUCUUAAAGGUCCUUAGCUUUUUUUGUCAGCAAAGUGAUCUAAAAACGUUUCUCUUACAGCAAGAGGUACAUGUACACAAGCGCAGCAGGCAAAAAAAGCCACCAUAAUUGAACUUUUUAUAAAUGAGACAGUAAGCUCUGUGAAAAUCACAAUAGUAUUAAAUUAGAAUUAUCUUACUCUCCAAGGACUUUUGAAUUCUAAGCUGACAAUUUCAAAUGGGUGGAACAUCAAGGUAUCUAAUUUUGUUCUCAGCUCUUCGUCAGAAUGGACUUGUAUUUGUAACCAGCCCUCAUUUGUAGCCAGUCUAUAAGGAUUAAAGAUAAAAAAAACAAUAUAUCCAAAAAAAGGAUAAGCAUGAGAAAUUCAAGACUAUUUUAUGAAAUUCAACCUUUUGCAGCUUAGCAUUAUGCAUGGAGAGACAAUAAGUAUUGACAGCAAUUCAAAAAACAUUCAUUUCGUAAAAUUUUUGCAGUUAAAACUUAGUGUAUGCUAAAAAAUUCCUCGUUUUAUCCAAACAUGAAGUACUUUUUUGUUAAUCAUGAAGGAAAGUUCAUCUGACCAUUUGACCACAAGCGCUCUUUUCACACCGAAAUCAAAAUGUACAU